rnacentral:rRNA from 1 species
UACGGAGGGUGCAAGCGUUGUUCGGAAUUACUGGGCGUAAAGCGUGCGCAGGCGGUGAUGUAAGACAGAUGUGAAAUCCCCGGGCUCAACCUGGGAACUGCAUUUGUGACUGCAUCGCUGGAGUGCGGCAGAGGGGGAUGGAAUUCCGCGUGUAGCAGUGAAAUGCGUAGAUAUGCGGAGGAACACCGAUGGCGAAGGCAAUCCCCUGGGCCUGCACUGACGCUCAUGCACGAAAGCGUGGGGAGCAAACAGG